rnacentral:rRNA from 1 species
AGUUAACGUUGGCGGCGUGCCUAACACAUGCAAGUCGAACGGCAGCAUGGGUGCUUGCACCUGAUGGCGAGUGGCGAACGGGUGAGUAAUGCAUCGGAACGUACCCGGAAGUGGGGGAUAACGUAGCGAAAGUUACGCUAAUACCGCAUAUUCUGUGAGCAGGAAAGCGGGGGAUCGCAAGACCUCGCGCUUCCGGAGCGGCCGAUGUCGGAUUAGCUAGUUGGCGGGGUAAAGGCCCACCAAGGCAACGAUCCGUAGCGGGUCUGAGAGGAUGAUCCGCCACACUGGGACUGAGACACGGCCCAGACUCCUACGGGAGGCAGCAGUGGGGAAUUUUGGACAAUGGGCGCAAGCCUGAUCCAGCCAUGCCGCGUGCAGGAUGAAGGCCUUCGGGUUGUAAACUGCUUUUGUACGGAACGAAAAAGACUCUCUCUAAUACAGGGGUGAAUGACGGUACCGUAAGAAUAAGCACCGGCUAACUACGUGCCAGCAGCCGAC